CAGAACUAUAUAAUACUAGUCUACAUGUUAAUAGCACUGCCCAUUUUUACUUACGAUCAAUUCUGGAUAUCAGACAAAUAACCUUAUUAUAUGGGGUAAAAUGCGAAAGGCAUACCGACUACAGAAUAGGAAGGAUGCUAGCAAAAACAUCAGAAAAGUUUAAAAUGAUACUUCGAGAUUGUGUUAAGCAAUUUUCAAACUAUUUUGUUCACCCAGAACUUGAUAUUUAAAUUGUUUCAAUAAGUUGUGAAAUAUAGUACAAGUGAAUCAAUCAGUGAACGGUCAACCAUUAAUGCCCGACCUUGUAAGAGGGAACAUGAUCAACUGGACCGCAAAAUGAUUCCAGUCCGCGCCAGUCUGGUAGACUUCCGAGUUGUAGGUAACGCCGGGGCGGGUCUAUAACGCCUUCUGCUGGACCAGCCCUGGAAGUGCUGACUUAAACAUUUCAUUAGGGUUAUAUAUAACCAAAACCGUUCUACAUUGGUAGGUGUUUAAAAAAAGGAAUACAAACUACUGGAAAACAUUUAUGGAGACAAAUUUAUUAUUUGACCUAUUACCAGAACAGAAAAUGUAAUCUUUCAGCUGUUGAAAAAAUAUCUGAAUGGUGACAAAAUCUUUCAAACAAUGUGUGCAAAAAACCCCAAUGAUAAAGUAAUGGAACAAGAUACAUUAAGUUGAUAUCAAGAUAUUCACAUUCGGUGAUUGGCAUUGAAUUUUUCAGUUUCUCUCUGUAAAAUAUAACAUGAAGUUUAGCAGCCACUAGAGUACUAUCACCAGGACUAGACUGUUCACCUGGACAAAUCUGCUGAUGGUUUUUGCGCUGGUGUUAAGGUGUUAUUUCAAAAACGCAUACUGAUUAUUAUUGUAUUGUGUGAGUAUGCAUGAUUGACUCACUGGUGUUACAGCCUCUGUCAUGUGUCAACAGAACAUAACCUGAUAAGAAUAUCAAGGUGGACUCAUAGAAGUCUUGUUGGAAAUGUUUCUAUAACCCCAUGCUGUAGGCGGUCUGCCUGCUUGAACUUGUAUUAACCCAGAAGGGCUUUAGACUGACUAUUAAUCAACAACUGUUCUUUGUUAUUCAUCUAAAAAUCCCCUUUACACACAAAUGAUCAACAACCGCAUUAUCAACCCCUGGUAAAGCCCUUGGAGUCAAUGUAAAGUAGCGAGAUUAUAUAUUUUCAGCAAUGGGGUCUAUGUUCAGUGGAAGGGUCUAUGUUCAGUAUAAAGAUCUAUGUUCAGCAGCGGGGUCUAUGUUCAGCAGCAGGGUCUAUGUUCAGCAGUGGGGUCUAUGUUCAGCAGCGGGGUCCAUAUUCAACAGUGGGGUCUAUGUUCAGUAGAAGGGUCGAUGUUAAGCAGUGGGGAAGCACAGGAUUUCAGACACAAACUUUGAUGUCCAGUUGUGACCUGCCCUUCGCAAACUCCUUUAGCCUCUUGACUCCCUCCUUAGAAAACUUGUUGUCAAACAACC
ensembl:lncRNA